GGAGGAGCAUGUGGCUUAAUUCGAUGCAACGCGAAGAACCUUACCUGGGUUUGACAUCGGAGAGGCUUGCCUCUAGCGCGUGAAAGCGCGUGAACCAGACAGGUGCUGCAUGGCAGUCGUCAGUUCGAGCCGUGAGGUGCUGGGUUAAGUCCCGCAGCGAACGCAACCCUUAUGUUUAGUUGCCACCCCCGAGCAAUCGGGGCGCACUCUAGACAGACUGCCCGUACAAGCGGGAGGAAGGUGGGGAUGACGUCAAGUCCGUAUGGCCCUUACACCCAGGGCUGCACACGUGCUACAAUGGUCGGUACAGAGGGAUGCUACACCGCGAGGUUACGCAAAUCCCUAAAAGCCGGUCCCAGUUCGGAUUGCAGUCUGUAACUCGACUGCAUGAAGUUGGAUUCGCUAGUCACGGCGUAUCAGCUACGACGCCGUGAAUACGUUCCCGGGCCUUGUACACACCGCCCGUCACAUCAUGAAAGCCGUCUGCACCCGAAGUCACUGAACCAACCAGCAAUGGAGGGAGUGCC
rnacentral:rRNA from 1 species